AAAAUGUGUCUGGAAUUGGUGAGUUCUUGGUCUUACUGACUUUAAGAAUGAAGUUGCGGACUUCUGCGAUGCCAAUAUUUUACCUCUUGGGUACUUUCUGUGUAGAAGAUUCAUAACAAGAACAAUACUUAUUCUGUAAUUCUUUAUAUAAAGCUCCAGAGGGAAGUGAGAAGGAUGUUCACUUGCUGGUGAGAGAAGGAGCUGGUUCCAUCCAUUAUGCAGUCCCCUGGGAGCGCUAAAUGCAACUUUAUCUCAAUGGGGAGUGGACGAUGAGCAGGACGUCGCUAGAGGGAAAGAGCACAAAGGAAGUAGACCAAGGAGACUGAAGGUGGUUAUGAAGACUGUGCAUCUCUGAGGACAUCUUAAACAAAGAUGACCCAAACCUUUGAUCUUCAAAUAGUCGAUGUGAACUGCUUAACAAAAUGCCCUGGGAAAACUCUGUCUGAAACAAGCAGCUUGGGGGUUUGAUUUCAUUAGUUACUGGACAAGAACUGGAAUGGAGUGAAAAAUCUUCAUUCAUUUCUUGGUCAGAUGGAGAGAGGAGAAAAAAAGAAGUGGGUUUCCAUUCACUUCCAUUUUCUAACU
rnacentral:antisense_RNA from 1 species